rnacentral:rRNA from 1 species
GCAACCUACGUUAUGGUUUGGGAUAACUCCAGGAAACCGGGGCUAAUACCGACUAUUCUAUUUUAAUUCAGGGUGAACUACUGAAAGACGGUUUCGGCUGUCGCUAUAAGAUGGGCCCCCGGCGCAUUAGCUAGUUGGUGAGGUAACGGCUCACCAAGGCGACGAUUCAUAGCCCACCUGAGAGGGUGAUCGGCCACACUGGGACUGAAACACGGCCCAAACUCCUACGGGAGGCAUCAGUAGGGAAUCUUCCACAAUGGGCGAAAGCCUGAUGGAGCAACGCCGCGUGAGUGAAGAAGGUUUUCGGAUCGUAAAACUCUGUUGUAAGGGAAGAACAAGUACGGUAGUAACUGGCUGUACCUUGACGGUACCUUAUUACAAAGCCACGGCUAACUACGUGCCAGCAGCCGCGGUAAUACGUAGGUGGCAAGCGUUGUCCGGAAUUAUUGGGCGUAAAGCGCGCGCAGGCGGUUCUUUAAGUCUGAUGUGAAAGCCCACGGAUCCACCGUGGAGGGUCAUCGGAAACUGGGGGACUUGAGUGCAGAAGAGGAAAGUGGAAUUCCAAGUGUAGCGGUGAAAUGCGUAGAGAUUUGGAGGAACACCAGUGGCGAAGGCGACUUUCUGGUCUGUAACUGACGCUGAGGCGCGAAAGCGUGGGGAGCAAACAGGAUUAGAUACCCUGGUAGUCCACGCCGUAAACGAUGAGUGCUAAGUGUUAGGGGGUUUCCGCCCCUUAGUGCUGCAGCUAACGCAUUAAGCACUCCGCCUGGGGAGUACGGUCGAAAGACUGAAACUAAAAGGAAUUGACGGGGGCCCGCACAAGCGGUGGCGCUUGUGGUUUAAUUCGAAGCAACGCGAAGAACCUUACCAGGUCUUGACAUCCCGUUGACCACUGUAGAGAUAUGGUUUUCCCUUCGGGGACAACGGUGACAGGUGGUGCAUGGUUGUCGUUCGCUCGUGUCGUGAGAUGUUGGGUUAAGUCCCGCAACGAGCGCAACCCUUGAUCUUAGUUGCCAUCAUUUAGUUGGGCACUCUAAGGUGACUGCCGGUGACAAACCGGAGGAAGGUGGGGAUGACGUUAAAUCAUCAUGCUCCUUAUGACCUGGGCUACACACGUGCUACAAUGGACGAUACAAACGGUUGCCAACUCGCGAGAGGGAGCUAAUCCGAUAAAGUCGUUCUCAGUUCGGAUUGUAGGCUGCAACUCGCCUACAUGAAGCCGGAAUCGCUAGUAAUCGCGGCUCAGCAUGCCGCGGUGAAUACGACGCCACACC